rnacentral:pre_miRNA from 1 species
AUUGUCUCCUCCGCAGCCGUCCCUAGUGUCAGUCUCAAACACUAAGGACGGCUGCGCAGGAGACUAAA